rnacentral:rRNA from 2 species
GAGUUUGAUCAUGGCUCAGAAUGAACGCUGGCGGCAGGCCUAACACAUGCAAGUCGAACGGAGUUAUAUUGUAGCUUGCUAUGGUAUAACUUAGUGGCAGACGGGUGAGUAAUGUAUAGGAAUCUACCUAGUAGUACGGAAUAAUUGUUGGAAACGGCAACUAAUACCGUAUACGCCCUACGGGGGAAAAAUUUAUUGCUAUUAGAUGAGCCUAUAUUAGAUUAGUUAGUUGGUGAGGUAAAGGCUUACCAAGACAAUGAUCUAUAGCUGAUCUGAGAGGAUGAUCAGCCACACUGGAACUGAGAUACGGUCCAGACUCCUACGGGAGGCAGCAGUGGGGAAUAUUGGACAAUGGGCGAAAGCCUGAUCCAGCUAUGCCGCAUGAGUGAAGAAGGCCUUCGGGUUGUAAAGCUCUUUUAGUGAGGAAGAUAAUGACGGUACUCACAGAAGAAGUCCUGGCUAACUCCGUGCCAGCAGCCGCGGUAAUACGGAGAGGGCUAGCGUUAUUCGGAAUUAUUGGGCGUAAAGGGCGCGUAGGCGGAUUAGUAAGUUAAAAGUGAAAUCCCAAGGCUCAACCUUGGAAUUGCUUUUAAAACUGCUAAUCUAGAGAUUGAAAGAGGAUAGAGGAAUUCCUAGUGUAGAGGUGAAAUUCGUAAAUAUUAGAGGAACACCAGUGGCGAAAGGC